rnacentral:lncRNA from 1 species
UAGGAGGUGAGAGAUUGUGAUCUGCUGGAGACACCUUGUGCUGACAGCAAAGGGAGAAGAACUGAGUAGGAUCCUUCCCUUCAACCAAACAGUCACCACAAACUCAAUCUACAGCUGGAACAAGUUCUCAGUGAAUUCUCUUGUAAAGGAACAGAAUUCAUGUUGCGGCGUAUCCAGGAGCAGGGAGCUGGAGCCCCACACACACCCCCACGCCUGCCAUUGUGACUACCUAGUUUUUCAUCCUUCAUCCUCAUCGUCAUUCUGCUGCCAAGAGCUGAUGGCAUUUCAAAUGCUCCUACAGUGUUCCUUAUGUAAUCAGUAGGGUGACUAACAUAGCGAUUGAAAACCUGACUUGGCUAAGGGUUUUCUGAUGAGAUUAAGUUUCAGAUGCCCAAGAGCUCCCAAAUAACUCCACCCCUUUUAACAGCCACAGCCACUGCAAAAUAAAUGGCUUGCAAGUAUCCACAGUGGAGGAUCCGGCAUACCUGGCUUACAGGGAU